AUUGAACGCUGGCGGCAGGCCUAACACAUGCAAGUCGAGCGGGGUUUUCGGACCUAGCGGCGGACGGGUGAGUAAUGCGUAGGAAGCUGCCCGAUAGAGGGGGAUACCAGUUGGAAACGACUGUUAAUACCGCAUAAUGUCUACGGACCAAAGUGUGGGACCUUCGGGCCACAUGCUAUCGGAUGCGCCUACGUGGGAUUAGCUAGUUGGUGAGAUAAUGGCUCACCAAGGCGAUGAUCUCUAGCUGGUUUGAGAGGAUGAUCAGCCACACUGGAACUGAGACACGGUCCAGACUCCUACGGGAGGCAGCAGUGGGGAAUAUUGGACAAUGGGCGCAAGCCUGAUCCAGCCAUGAGGCGUGUGUGAAGAAGGCCUUCGGGUUGUAAAGCACUUUCAGCGAGGAGGAAGGGUGGUGUGUUAAUAGCACAUCAUUUUGACGUUACUCGCAGAAGAAGCACCGGCUAACUCUGUGCCAGCAGCCGCAGUAA
rnacentral:rRNA from 1 species